ACGCCGUAAACGGUGGGCGCUAGUUGUGCGAACCUUCCACGGUUUGUGCGACGCAGCUAACGCAUUAAGCGCCCCGCCUGGGGAGUACGAUCGCAAGAUUAAAACUCAAAGGAAUUGACGGGGCCCCGCACAAGCAGCGGAGCAUGCGGCUUAAUUCGACGCAACGCGAAGAACCUUACCAAGGCUUGACAUAUACAGGAAUACGGCAGAGAUGUCGUAGCCGCAAGGUCUGUAUACAGGUGGUGCAUGGUUGUCGUCAGCUCGAGUCGUGAGAUGUUGGGUUAAGUCCCGCAACGUGCGCAACCCUCGUUCUGUGUUGCCAGCAUUUAGUUGGGGACUCACAGGAGACUGCCGGGGUUAACUCGGAGGAAGGUGGGGAUGACGUCAAAUCAUCAUGCCCCUUAUGUCUUGGGCUGCACGCAUGCUACAAUGGCUGGUACAAACGGCUGCGAUACCGCAAGGUGGAGCGAAUCCGAGAAAGCCAGUCUCAGUUCGGAUUGGGGUCUGCAACUCGACCCCAUGAAGUCGGAGUUGCUAGUAAUCGUAGAUCAGCAACGCUACGGUGAAUACGUUCCCGGGGCUUGUACACACCGCCCGUCACAUCACGAAAGUCG
rnacentral:rRNA from 1 species